rnacentral:rRNA from 1 species
AUGAAGAACUAUUUCGUGGAGAAUCCCACAUACCCGGAGUCAUAUUUUCGUUGCCGGUUUAGGAUGAGCACCGACUUGUUCAGGCGCAUUGCAGAGAAACUAGCGAGCCAUGACCGGUUUUUCCAGCAAAGGAGGAAUGUCGCCGGAGAGCUCGGGGAUAGCACCUUUCUGAAGGUGACAACUGCUUUG